UCCCACACUUUUUUUUUGUUUGCUCAUUUUUUUUGGCUGAAAUAAAAUACAAAUAUAACAAAACCUCAAAAGCUCGCCACUUCUCACUAACAUUUUUCCACAACUCAAGUGGCAUAGGCAUCUCUAUCACUCACUCUGGCAUAACAAUCGACAAGUAUCUUUGAUUAUAGAAAAAAAUGAGUUAGCUUUGAGCCAAAGCACAAUAGACGAGUCUCAAAUUUUGCCAAAUGAUGUCGUUGGUAAGGUGCUAGGAAAAGAGCACUCUGGAAGGGUGAGGUGUUUGGGAUUAGGCCCUGUCCCUAGUAGAGUUUUUAAACAAGUAAGACCUCGUUUUGGUGGUACAAGUUCUUCAAGUACUGAAGGUUCAUGUUCGUCCCAAUGUCAACAUAACCAUAAUCAAAUGAUGAAUUUGAUGAACGCUUUCAAGGCAUAUAUGAUAAUGAAAGAAGGGACUAUACCAGAACAGUUUGCAGGGUUCUUUGCUUCUCCUUCGACGGUUUCUCCUACAACGCCAAGUGCAACGGACAGUGGACCCCUUUCGCCAAUGGACGCAAGAAGAUCAUGUGGUGAUAGUAACUCUAGCGGCAAUCGUUGAUUUCAUUAUAAUUGUCUUAGAUAAUUAAUUGUGACGAUGUAAUAUUGUGUGGUUGAAGCUGAUGUUAGAAUGUUGGAGUGAAUGUUUUGUGUUUAAAAUAGUUUUUGAGUGAUGCUACUUAAUGUUGACAAUUUAGUUUUAAAGACUAAUGAUAUUUUAUGAUAACGUUUUGUGAUUUUAUGA